rnacentral:rRNA from 1 species
GACGAACGCUGGCGGCGUGCUUAACACAUGCCAGUCGAACGGAAAGGCCCUGCUUUUGUGGGGUGCUCGAGUGGCGAACGGGUGAGUAACACGUGAGUAACCUGCCCUUGACUUUGGGAUAACUUCAGGAAACUGGGGCUAAUACCGGAUAGGAGCUCCUGCUGCAUGGUGGGGGUUGGAAAGUUUCGGCGGUUGGGGAUGGACUCGCGGCUUAUCAGCUUGUUGGUGGGGUAGUGGCUUACCAAGGCUUUGACGGGUAGCCGGCCUGAGAGGGUGACCGGCCACAUUGGGACUGAGAUACGGCCCAGACUCCUACGGGGGGCAGCGGUGGGGAAUAUUGCACAAGGGGCGGAAGCCUGAUGCAGCAACGCCGGGUGCGGGAUGACGGCCUUCGGGUUGUAAACCGCUUUCGCCUGUGACGAAGCGUGAGUGACGGUAAUGGGUAAAGAAGCACCGGCUAACUACGUG